UUGAAACUAUAUUGAGAGAUUAACGUGAUAAUACCUAGGUUAAGGGGGUGGUAUAGCUAGAGAUACUGUAUAAUGUCCGUUGUGUGCUGUGUUCUUAAUAACGAUACAUUUGAACUAUGAAGUGAUCUAACUAUUACAUGACGCAGGUAGGGGGGGCAGGGGUUGGGGUGAUGGGGGGGCAGGACUGACUGCAGCACACCAAAUAUAUUUUUUAUAGACAAAAGCAUCUCAAGAUGAGCAAUGCGGUGUUAUUUUGUGUUCGUUUUGGUUCUCUCUUUCGAACAGUGCUGAAUCCUAACCUGAGAUCCUAAAACAAAAUCCCUCAACCACGCCGUAGUGAUUUUGAUGCAUCUGGAAGUGAACGAUUCAGCCCGAAAGUUUAUUUUCUUUCUUGGGGGUUCUUGAGUUUACGAAAGCCCGGUGUAAAUAGGUAGCUGCCGGUUAGCUCCCCCCUGCUCUAUGUUGUAGCUGCCCCUCCUCCCUGUGUGUGCUUGGUAGGGGUUUGCAUGGUGUUUCCUUACCCUACCACCUUUUCAAGAGACUAUCCCUGGCCAAACUCGUACAGUUACGGCGUAAAGAGAUGGAGUCGGAGGGCGGGAAUGGAGGGACGGAGUUGAAAGUCGUAACACAUUCUCUUAAGUUCUUGUGUUCGUUGUGGCGGUGGCGGUAUGUAGCUGUAGCUUUGAUAUCUAGCUAACCGUUGGCAUUCUAUGUCUUGUGAGGACGGAUUGGUCUCGAACUUUGCAUCUAUGUUUUUUUCUUCUUCUCUGCCCGACUUGGAAAGUUCACCACACCACUCGCCCCCCAACUCCCCACCCCCCUCUUGUGGAUUUAACGAUGGCUGGAGUUUGGCUAGGGAUGCGUCUAGUGGUUUAGCAACGAGCUUAACUGCGACCGAAAUUCUAGUUAAAAGAGAUGUUCGUAUUUGCACACAUACUUCAUGCACACUCGCAUACAACACCAGCAGACACUGUAUACACACAUCAUACUAAUGAGUGGCCAGGUAUCUGGAGAAAAAGGCUUCCAAACCCUUAAGACAAGUAGGAUUUUCUUUUUUUCCUUCAUAAAAAACUGUUACAUGGUAUAAAGUACAUGGCAUGGCUUAAGCUUUCUUUUCUUUUUUUCGCACUUUGAAAAUAAAUACUUUGGGGUGGGUGGGUAUUGUAAUAAAUGUUAGUCAUUCAUAAGCCAAUGCUUGGUAGCCUGUUAUUAGAUUUGUACCGGAAAGUUGCAGUUAAAUAUGAUUCUCUGCUUCAUUUCAUAUAUUCGUUUCGGAAAGCCUUUUUCCUGUACCAGGGGUUAUGGAAGCCGUUUCCUCCUCCUGGAAACAUGACUGGUGAUGGCUAGAUACACCUGUAAUCACAGGUCUGGGGUCAGCCAGGCCUGGCCUUAGCCCAUCCUGGCCCUAGGGGCCUAGCUGAUCUCCAGCCUGUGUCUAUGGAGGGUGGAGCCCAGGGCUCAGAACUGUCUGGUAGUGUGACGUUUGACUGACAGGCGCUUUGUGAGGCUACGAUUGAUGUUAUUUCGUUCCCAUGACUCUCUAGGGGGAUGCGCUUUUUCUGUGGACAAACAACUUGUUCUCGUUUAGCUGCAGUGGACUUCACUUUGAAACCAAGCGUCAUAUUAUGAUGAUUUGUUUUUUGUUUUACAGAGCGGAUAUCACUAGUUGCAACAGUUGGUGUUGUUAUGGCUAUUGGCACUUAAUCUGCAAUCUUAAAAUAUUAAGACAAAUCUGAAUUUGUUUUAAUAUUUUCGCUUGGAUGUUUACUAUAUUACAAUGACUGUGUUGGAGUAAAACUUUGUUUCACUGACAUGCACAUUUUGAAAGUGGAAAUAUUCAAAUUGAGUAUGGCUGCAAGCUUUAGAAAUGCAAAUAGUUAUCCACAGAACAAGUGCACUUCUAGAUAUAAAAGGUGAUAGAAAUUCUAGAAAUCAUGGUAAUUGAGCAACAAAACUUACUCUACUGUGCUAAUGUGUAGAGGAUCAUUUAUAUCAGUAGUUUUUGGCUUCUUGUCUCCCUCAGGCAAGAAACAAGUGGAUCAAACUACAAAAAAAUAAAAACUAUAUUUAUAUUUAUGAAAAAUAGUACAAAUGCACUCCUAUUCACUAAAGUGCCAAUCCGACCAACAAAGACUGAAGGUUGAAAUGUCUGUCUAUGACUUAUUGAAUUCUAUUUUUCCUUUUUCCUUUUUUUGUACUUGAAUGUGCACACAUUUUGUGCAAAACAUUGCUGCUCUUUUUUCCUUAUCUUUAAAGUUACAUGACUUGCCAUUGUUUCUCAAAAGAAGUGGCAUUCUUUUCUUGGCCCACCUCAACGUGGGUUUGAACCUUAAAGGAGAAAAAAUAGAAAAACCUAAAAAUGGGACUUCCUUUACUGCAUUAUACUGGUCUUUCCAGACCUCCAAAUAGAUUGGUGAUAGGUAAGGCUGGUUGUUUCUAGAUGUACACAAUGAUUUGAGCGGUUUGUGUCCAAAGAGGAGACAAUACAAACUACAUCACUGGGCUUUCUGGUCAGCUGACAUAUCAGACCAGACCUUUACUUCCAUGUUUGCACAUAUGAGUAAAACCGUCUCUGUUUGUAAAUGACCUACAGAAGUGGUGUUCCUCGCUAGAGUUCUUGAUACCUCUCUUGUUUCUACGCCUGAAUCUAGAGCUCAGACCCUUACUGCAGAUGGUGGUACUGUGAUUGAAAAAUCAAACUCAGGCGACCACCCCAUUUUUUUUUUUUUUUGGUCCGCCAAAAACUUAUUAAAAGCCAUCUUUCAGUACAACCAAUCACACAUCGUUUUCUUGCAGGGUAAGCUGUGAUCAGUUUUUUUUUUUUAUCGUCCGAUUCAGCAUUGGACCACAAAUCUAAAUCCGAUCAGAACAACCAACAACUCCUGCAGUAGAUGUGCUCCAAACCCAACAUCCGUAGGGAUGUGCUUCAAACCCAACAUCCGCAGGGAUGUGCUCCAAACCCAACAUCCGCAGGGAUGUGCUUCAAACCCAACAUCCGCAGGGAUGUGCUCCAAACCCAACAUCCGCAGGGAUGUGCUCCAAACCCAACAUCCGCAGGGAUGUGCUCCAAACCCAACAUCCGCAUGGAUGUGCUCCAAACUCAACAUCCGCAGGGAUGUGCUCCAAACCCAACAUCCGCAGGGAUGUGCUCCAAACCCAACAUCCGCAGGGAUGUGCUCUCUCUUCAGGCUUAUCUUCAGGCUUUGUUCCCCUCUCUCUGGGAGUGGAGUUACCAGACGGAACUACUUGACGUUUUACCCAGAUGAAAUCUGGGAUUCAUCAUUAUGCGAAGUAAUUUACAUUAAACAAGAGAUGUAAGAACUGAAGAGGAGCGUUGUGUAUGUUGUUUUACAUUUAACACGCACCGUGUUUUUUUCCCCCCCUAAAUCCUGACUCGUUCUAAUGACUUCUGAGAAGUGCUGAAAUGCCUCCUUUGACCACAUGAUGUCACUUGGAAAUAACAUGGCCUGUUUUCCUGCCUGAGCUGACGGCUACAGUUGCAAUAUAUAGGGCCUAAAGCACUUCCUCUUCAGGACAUAUGAUCAGAAAGAAAACUUACAAUUGAUCAUUCAAAAGUUGUAAUCCAGGUAUUGAUUGCAACACGGCUCAAAUUUGACUUGUCUUCCGUCCUCAAUCCUUUAAAUGUCUCUUUGAGACUGAUCUGUCUCUAGGAAAUCUCAAGUUAUGGCUCUAUGCUUGGCUUGUCAAGUGUAGCAGUCCAUGUUCAAUUGUUUACAAUGCUACAUGUUUGUAAAAUAUUUUCAUACACCCUUACUGACCAGCCCUGAUGUAUACUCUGCUCUGGUCCUAUAAUUUCUCUCUUUGAAAUGUAUUUAUUUCAAUAUCUUAUGUUUGUUUGCUUACAAAUACCCAUCUUAAACUGUGACUUGACUUGACUGCCGACGGUAUGAAUGAGUGACGAGAAACUGAUACAGUUCAACUGAACAUGACACACACAGAAACAAACAUACACAAUGCAUUAACAAUAUUAGAUAUGUAUACGAAAUAUAAGUAAAUAAAAUCUAAAGUUGUUCAGUGAAAAUACUGUACGAAAAAAUAAAGUUAUGUUGCAACCCUU